rnacentral:rRNA from 1 species
GACGAACGCUGGCGGCGUGCUUAACACAUGCAAGUCGAACGGGCCCGCUCUCUUUUUUGGGGGUGGGUUGAGUGGCGAACGGGUGAGUAUCACGUGAGUAACCUGCCCCCUGCUCCUGGAUAACUGCUUGAAAGGGCGGCUAAUACGGGGUGUGCCGGCUGGUCCGCAUGGGCCUGGUCGGGAUAGUUUCAUCUUCGGGUGUUUCGGUGGGGGAUGGGCUCGCGGCCUAUCAGCUUGUUGGUGGGGUGCUGGCCCACCAAGGCGGUGGCGGGGCGCCGGCCUGAGAGGGUGGGCGGCCACGCUGGGACUGAGACACGGCCCAGACUCCUGCGGGAGGCAGCAGUGGGGGGUAUUGCACAAUGGGCGGAAGCCUGAUGCAGCGACGGCGCGUGAGGGAUGGAGGCCUUCGGGUUGUGAACCUCUUUCUCCGGUGGUGAAGGCCCUGUCCGUUGCGGCGGGGUUGACGGUAGCCGGGUAUGAAGCGCCGGCUAACUACGUG